rnacentral:misc_RNA from 1 species
AACUUUUGGCAAUGGAUCACUUGGCUCUCGCAUCGAUGAAGAACGCAGCGAAAUGCGUUACGUAAUGUGAAUUGCAGAAUUCCGUGAAUCAUCGAAUCUUUGAACGCACCUUGCGCCUCUUGGUAUUCCGAGGGGCAUGCCUGUUUGAGUGUCAUUGAAUCCUCAAAAAGGAACCCUCUAAGGAGGGCUUCUGUUUUGGAGUUGGGGUGUGCUGGCCUUUACAUGAAGCCCAGCUCCUCUGAAAUGCAUUAGCGAUGUGAUAUCUGCAUGCAUGCGCUCUCCCUGGCAUUGAUAAUUAUUUUCAUGCCCGAGUUUGUGCAGCACCUGUGGAAAGGUUCUCUCGCUCCGAAUUGAUGUGGGUUUUGCUCCCCACAUCCUCUGACCAAUAUAACCUCAAAUCAGGUAGGGUUACCCGCUGAACUUAAGCAUAUCAAUAAGCGGAGGCU